CCUACGGGAGGCAGCAGUGGGGAAUAUUGCACAAUGGGGGAAACCCUGAUGCAGCGACGCCGCGUGCGUGAAGAAGUAUUUCGGUAUGUAAAGCUCUAUCAGCAGGGAAGAAAAUGACGGUACCUGAUUAAGAAGCCCCGGUUAACUACGUGCCAGCAGCCGCGGGAAUACGUAGGGGGCAAGCGUUAUCCGGAUUUACUGGGUGUAAAGGGAGCGUAGACGGCAGCGCAAGUCUGAGGUGAAAUGCCGGGGCUUAACCCCGGAACUGCUUUGGAAACUGUGCAGCUAGAGUGCAGGAGAGGUAAGUGGAAUUCCUGGUGUAGCGGUGAAAUGCGUAGAUAUUAGGAAGAACACCGAUGGCGAAGGCAGCUUACUGGGCUGUUACUGACGUUGAGGCUCGAAAGCGUGGGGAGCAAACAGGAUUAGAUACCCUUGUAGUC
rnacentral:rRNA from 1 species